GCUGCCUGCCAGUUUCAGCCGCAUGCCCCUGCAGUGAAGGUGAAGCCCUAAGUGAAAAUAUGCGAGGUGAAAUCCUUGUUGUUACGGGUCCCGGCCAUGGCCAUCUCUAUCCCUGCAUGCAACUCUGCAACCGUCUUACUAAACGUAACUUCCAUAUUACCCUCGUUACCUCCUCCACUCUCUCCCCUGCUAUUCCCUCCUCUUUUACUCAAAACCCACUUACCAGUAUCGCCCCCAUCGCUCCCUCCGGCCAGCAAUCCGCCCAAGACCUCCGCUUAUACCUCACCAGCCGCUGCAAUAUAUCUGAUUCUCCCCCGCCUCUAUGCGCUAUCAUUGACUUCCAAAUGGGCUGGACAAAACAUGUCUUUUGGAAAUUUGAUAUUCCUGUCAUCGGAUUGUUUACUUUUGGCGCCUGUGCUGCCGCCAUGGAGUGGGGAGCCUGGAAGGUCCAAGCUGAAGAACUCAUGCCCGGUGAAGCCCGUUUAGUCCCGGCAUUACCCCAAGAAAUGGCGAUUACUUGCUCCGAUCUCAAAAGAAAAAUUUUUGUGCCGCCUGGUGACGGCGGACUUGGGCGGGGCCCGCCAAUGCCCGGAGACCGGCCCCCAUGGGUGC
rnacentral:misc_RNA from 1 species